GGGGCUGAUCGGUUUCGACAGCGCCUGCCGAUCUGACAGAAGCGGGCCGAGGAUGCAGGGUUAUCUCGUUAACGCCCCCUGCGAAACUAUAAGUGCCAACUCUAACGCUGAGCGCACUGACUUCGCCCUCGCUGCGUAAGUAGCGAGCUCGAGUCCGUCAGCCCGUGAUCGUCCCCGUCACGGUUCCUGGCGCCAUCUAAGGGGUCUUGCUGUGUGACGGCGUCGCGACGUCACACGGGACUUUUCCGCGACUGGGCCCGUCGAUCUAUGUGUCUGUGCUGAAGAUCGGGGCCGAGCAGAACGUCUCCACAGAAUGCGCCCGGAGAAACUUCAGUGAACCAGCGUUGGACGGGGGUUCGAUUCCCCCCAGCUCCACAG
rnacentral:tmRNA from 2 species